CCUGUUUUGUGUGGGGGGCUUGGGAGACAUUUUUUGUGGCAGUGUGAUGAUCUUUUUGGUGGGAAGUUGGUCAUUUAGUGUGGCGAUUUGGAGGUGUUUUGUGGAAAUGUGUGAAAUAUGGUGGUAUUGGGAGAAUUGUGUGAGGAGCUGGGACCUUCAUUUGGAAAUUGUGGAAACGUGAUUGGGGGGAAUUUGGUCAUGGUGUGUGGUGAUAUAGUGCCUUGUUUGGAAAUACUGCUAUUUUGUGUGGAAACGUCAUGGUUUGGGAACCUUGUGGAAAUCUGUUGAUUUUGUGUGGAAGUGGUGUGGUAAUUUUAGGGUGAUUUGGGAACUGUUUGUGUGACUGGUGUGUCGUGGGACCUGUGGCAAACUGUAUGGGGAUUGGUUCACUGUAUGGAAAUACGGCUGUGUUGUGUGAGGGGAAAUGGUCUGGGGAUUUGGAAACCCUUUUUGUGGGCUCGUGUGUGGGCUUGUGGUGGUUUGCGUGUGGAAAACCAGACAUCCUUUGUGGUGAGUUGGAGGCGUUUUUGUGGCAAUGUUUGGAGAUGUUCUGUGAUGUUGGGAGAAGUCUGUGGGGAUUUGGGACGUUUAUUGGGGGAGUGUGUGGAAAUGUUAAAAUGUUGUGAGAAACUGGUGAUGGUGUGUGGUACUAAAGGACGUUGUUUCUUGGAAAAUGUGAUUUUUGUGUGGAAAACUAGUGAUUUAGGAACUCUGUGGAGAUGUCUGUGGAAAUGUGGUGAUUAUGCCAGUGGAAAAUGGUGUGGUAGUUUUAGGGUAAUUUGGGAACUGUUUGUGCAACUGAUGUUCGUGGGAGCUGUGGAAAUGUGUGUGCAUGGGAAUAUGGUUAUGUUGUGUGGGGGAUACGGUGUGGGGAUUUGGAAACCUUUUUUGAGGGCAUGUGGCGACUUUUGUGUGGAAAAGUUUGUUCUGUGUGGUGACUUGAGAACCCCCUUUUUAUCUGGAAGUGCUGAUUUUGUUUGGUGGGAGGUGAGUCAUUUUGUGGUAAUUUGGUGAUGCGUUGGUGGAAAGGUGUGGGGAAACGUGUGGGAGAAUUCUGUGGGGACUGGGGAGCGUGUCUGUGGAAAUGUGCUUUUUUGUGGAAGAUGUGAUGGUGUGUGGUGAAAAAGGAUUUGUUUUGGAAAUGUGAUUUUUUUUUUGCGUGGAAAACUGAUGAUCUGGCAGGUGUAUGUGGAAAUGUGAGUGGAAAUAUCUGGUGAUUUUUGUGUGUGUGUGGAAAAUGGUCUGGUAAUAUUAGGGUGAUUUAGGAACCGUUUUUGUGGAACUUGUGUGUUGUGGGACGUGUGGAAUAGUUUGUGGUGACUGGGUAAGUGUGGAAAUAUGCUUGUGCUGUGUGAGGGAAAUGGUAGGCAGGGGUUGGAAAAAUUUUUGUGGGCAUGUGUGCGCCUGUGUUUGGACACGUGGUGGUUUCCAUGUCGAAAACUGGCCCUGAUUUGAAAACCCUUUUUCUGGCAGUGUGGUAGGGUGUUGGGUUUUUUUGAGUGGGAGGUUGGUCAUUUUGUGUGGCGAUAUGGAAGUUUUUUUGUAGAAACGUUUGGGGAAAUAUGGUGGUUUUGGGAGAGUUCUGUGGUGCUUUGGGAACUUUUUACUGGAAAUGUUUGGAAAUGUGAUUUUUGUUGUGGAAUUUAGGACCUACAGGUAUAUAGGACAUUUGUUUGGAACUAUAGGGGUUUUGCGUGGAAAUAUGGUGAUUUAAUUUUUAGAAAACAGUGUGGUAACUUUAGGGUGAUUUGGGAACUGUUUUGUGCGACCUGUGGAAAAUUGUGUGGCGGUGGGGUAAGCAUAUGGAAAUAUGGGUAUGUUGUAUGAGGGAAAAUGCAUGGUGAUUUGGAAACCUUUUUUGUAGUAGUGCAUGUAGAAAAGUGUGAUUUUGUGUGUGUGUGUGGUCAUUUGAUAAGUCUGAACGGGAAUGUGCUGGGCUGGCCCACGGGGGUCAUUUCAUCCGCUGCGGUGCGUUUAACGGUGCGUGUCUUCUCACUAAUGAAACGGUCUAACGUGGGUCUUCCCUUUCUUUCCAACUGCUCCUUGUGCACCUGUUCAUGGAAGCAGUGUCAGCGAGGAGCUGCAGCGUGAAAGAAGUGGGACUUGGAAAUAUCCAAGGGACCACGGGUAACAGGAUCCUGGCCGUUGUGGAGAGACUUCGGGUUGGAGAUGGAUGCAAAGAAGUGGAGGCGUGCCAUGGUGUUGGAGGAUAGAGCAGGAGGAGUAGCGUGAUGGAAGAUGAUCAAAGUCUGGUCCUGAGUGGAGAAGAGCUGAGGAGCCCUGGAGCUGGUAUGGCGUGGAAGGAGUUGGAGACGGCCCGAAGCCAUGCUCAUGUGAUCACCUGGAGCGAGGUAUUUGCUUCUUGCAGGUUGCAGCUCUGGAUGGACAGAUCCUGCAGCUGGUAAGGGGUUGCUUGGAGCAGUGUGGGGCUAAUUGCUAGACUCAGACAUUCAUGCUUUGCCCUUUGAUGUUUUUCAUGCUGAGGCUUUUCUUUUGCGUCCUCAGCAGGUGCCUGCAUCGUAUCUGGGAAAGGGAUGGCAAGCAUGAGGACUGACGGCGCACAAGGACUGAAAGCGCAGCUUGAUGCCAGGUGUGGGUCCUGGUGUGCGUGGAAGGAAAGGGUGAGGGGGCAUGGGGACCGGAGCCAGAGGAUCAGGAUGCGAGAAGGAGCCAUCUUCUGAAGGCUUGAGGGCUGUGGAGCAGACUCUGUGAAGAUGAAGUGAAGAGUCCCAGAGGUGGUGCAGGAGGAAACGGGCAGCCCUGUUGUGACUUCCUGAUUUGCGUGGUGUGAGGCCUCUUCCCCUGUGGCAUCACCUGGCUGGAGUCUGGGGAGGUUUUGUGUGUGUAGCUUUGCAGGCGGUGCGUCUCCGCUCCCACUUCUUGCUGUGAGGAUGCCUGGAUAAGCAGCAGCAUGAUUGUGGCUGGGUGGCCUCAAUGUUGUGGGGGAGAGGAAUAGAAGCGAGGCUUCUGCGGUGGUGGUAGAAGAUGGAGGAACUGGAUCCCGAAAGCGUGAGUGGAGAAGAGCUGAGGCAAAGAGACCUAGAGCCAGUGCUAGGUAGAAGCGGGUGGAGGAAGCAGGUGGUCGUGCAGCCAUGCUCGCUUCUGGGUCAGCUGGAGGGAGGCGUCUGCCUGUUCGGUGGACCUGUGUGCACGAGCAGAGCCUGCAGAGGUCCCUGCCUCCCCUGUGUGGAGAGGAUGGCAAGGAGGGAGGAGAGUGCGCCGGAGGAAGAGGAGCGCGAUGCCAGGUCCCAUGAGUGCUGUCUCUUGGGGGUCCUGACCUGUGCAGAGGGAAAUGACUGCCGGUUGAAGGAGUGAAGCUGAGCAGCGCCCACGGAGGGUGAAGCAGGAGGAACUCGAUGCCGCACGGCGUGUCGGUGCCGGAUGGGCAGGUCUGGCAAUUGGUUUCUGUUUUUCUCCAGCCCAGUCCUGGGUGUUGGGCAUUGACUAGGUAGGGUAGACAACUGGAGAUGGAUCCAUGUUUCUGACUGUGGAGAGUACUGGAUGUCAGAGAAAAGGUCCUUCUUGUGGUGGUGUCUCCAGCAUAUGCUGUGGCUGCUGUGCUGUGGUCCCAACAGAGGCAAGCCUUGGAGAGCUCAGAGGGUCCUGGUCCUUGGAGAGAAGUUUGAGCAGAGAAGGGUUGAAGAUGGAGGUAGAGAGGAUGGUGCAAGCGGGGGGUCUUUUUACCAAGACUUUUGGGGCAGGGAGGAGAAGUGGAGAUUGGGCAGAAGAAGAGAAGACACCUUGAAGUCAUGAACCAUGGAGCUGCCUGUCGUUGGUGCGUGGAGCAUGUGAUGGGUGCUUGCGCUGUAGCUCUGUUGUGAGGAGCGGGGCAUGGGCAGUGACACGCUGAGAGCUGGAGAAGGAGCACCACAAAGAUGGCUGUGAGGCCUUGGUCAGGCGUGAAGUAUGUGAGCCAGGAGAGUCGUGCAGCACACACGCAGGAUGGAGGGCAACAAGUCGAGCGGGAGGCUUUUUUGGCCAGGGCUGCUGUGAAAUCUGGUGUAGGGCUGGGCCGGCCGGUCCGAGUCUGUCGGACUCCACGUAUAGGAGAAACGACGGAUGUCUAAGGAGCUUGUGGGGUGUUUGAUCCGGGCUCAUCCCUGGCACUUGGGUUGCAGGCCUGGCCCCUCUCUGGGGUGUGUUGAGGGUGAGCUCUGGGUUUGCAUUCGUGCCCCUGACUUGCUGUUGCUACAGGCCUCCCUUCAGUCUUGGGAACAGUGCUAUGUCCUGUGUGCCUGGGGGUGUCACUGGUGUCUCUCUCUUUCUACGUCUUUGCAAAAUGUCUGCAGCACUUGUUCUUUUUCUGCUCUUGUCAGGACUGGAGGGAAGGCUGUGGUGGGUUUUUUCCUGCCACCUAAAAUGGUUUCCACCUCGGGGAGGGGUCUGACUGCACCCCGUGUGCCGUGUUUAGGCUGGGUGGGGGUAUUGCCUUUGGAUUCUCGGGGGUUGCUUUUGCCCUCAGGGCUGUGAGUCCCGUGUGCCGCGUGACUUUUCCUAAUUUAUUUUUGUUUUGGUGACAUGUACGGGAGUCAUCUGGCUGAGGCUCAAGGCUCGUAAGCGGGCAUCGGGAAGAAGAGGUGGAGACAGCGCCUGUGACCUGAGGAAACUGGUGAAAGAAAUGGAUGUCGGCGCAUUCGCUUUGCGGUUGCCGGGUGUGAGACUUCUGCCCGUGUGGUGGCCCUGGGCUGGAAGCCUUGUUGCGUGAAGCCUGCGAUACGUGAGAUCUGAAUCGGAGCGGUGUGAGACAUUUGGUCCGUGGAAGUUGGGAGGUGGAUUUGAGCGGGCUUGGGGGGAGCAUCUCUUGGCCUCCCUCGGUGGUGCUGGUGACGGUCCUGUAGAGGGAAGGGUUGUGGGCUCCUGCCGUUGGUCACAGGGUGUAUUUAGGGUUGUCAGACUGUGCUUGCCUGUGGCACUUGGGUGUUGGUUUUGCACUUCUAGGUUGUUUUGGGCCAGACGAUUGGGUUUGUGUUGGCGUGCCUGUUGCUGUUGCGAGAGGGCCUUCGCAGUGCUGGGAAUGAUGUUGGAUUGCUGCUCCCUGUGUGGUGAGGAGGAUGGGCUGCAAUGACUGGAGGCCUGGAAAAGGAGCCGUGUGGCCAGGGUCCUGGGCUGCACGGAGGGAAGUAGGUGAGAGGACUGCAUCGUGGAAGAGCCGUGGGACAGUGUUGGAUGACAGACGCGGACCGGCCGGAUGUUGCCCGCUACGUUGGAAUGUCCCUUCUGUAUUGGGAUUCUGCGUGGGGGUGUGGGGUGGGUUUGGGAGUGUCCUCAGCUUUAUGAUCCUGGAGCCAGGGGUUUGCAAGUAGUAUGUUUGGGUCAGUUUGUGUGUGCUGUGGGUGGACCUAGGGUGACCAGAGGUGAAAUCCAUUCCUGUGACCCUGCAGUUGGACCAGCACCCAGACACUUGCAGGAACCUCUGGCCAAGCAGGCCCAGAGCUUCCAACUGUUGAGCACGGCAAUUCUGGAGCCAGCUAGCAUGGAAGCAGAAGGGCUGGCCGGGCGCAGGGCCCGGGCUGCCUCUGUGGCUUCUGUGCUAGUGAGGUUGAGAAUUGCAGUGCUGGGGGGUUGGAGGUUUUGGACCUGCUUGUGCAGGGUUCUUGUUGGUGUUGGGGUGCUGGUUCUGCUGGGUCAGAGCAAUGGGUUUUAUUCUGCCUGGCUGCCAUGUUUACAGUGUCCUGCAGGGCUGGGAGCCUGUCGUAGCAGCGUGUGUUUGGCUGGGGCGGGGUGGUUGUCUGGUUUGGUCCCUGAGCAGUGUGGUGAGCAUGUUUGUUAUUACACUGAAAUAAAAUAGUUUUCUGAUAGCCUACUGUUAGGCUAACCAUAAUUUAGAUUAUUAAGAAAUAUUAGCUUUGCAGCUGAAUACAAGGCAUGACCUGUGGCCUAGCAAUGCCGCUGACCACAAGGCAGAAUGAUAGCUAAGCCUUUGCUUAUGUUAAGUAAUCAUUUUAACUGUGUUGACUAUUUUCUGAGUAAAAUGCAGCAAGUGAAUCUGUGUUUGCGUGCUGUAAACCAGAUGCAGCAAGGAAGAAGAUAAGAGGAAGAAGCCGUUGUUCUAAGUACAGUGAUCGUGUCCUUAAGAAGUAUCUAGUACUGUGCAAGUUUUUGCUAACAUAUCAUAAUGUUACUGUUACUUAGGUUAGAAAAUAUUGUUGGAAAAUCAGUGAGACCUUUGUAUGACCUUUGGUCAAUGCUGGCUGAUGCAACCUUGCAGUAAGAUUGCCAAGGUCUGUCAAUAUAGGCAGGCAAACAAGGUGAUUGGGCCCAACCAUGCGGGGUAAGCAAAGCCAAGCCAUCUUGGUGAUUUUUCUCUGAGUUUUGCGCGUGUGUUAUGAAGAAGCUUAUGUAACCAGAGUUUAUAAAUAUAUGUGUUGAGUUGCAGUCAGGGUCUCUCUCUGCCCUUACGAGGACAGGGGACCUUCGGCCGAAUAAACUGAAAAGAGCACACCUUCAUCUGCUGCUUAUUGGAGUCUCAGCUGGGAAACGAGCCCUGUUUGGGUUAAGAGAGUCUGCAGGUGUUGCCUUACGAGAUUGGGAGCCUGGUCAGACAAUUUCUCCCACAGGCGAAAGCAGAGCUGUCUGUUACUCAGCUUUGUUUUGUUGUUGCCCCUAGUGGAGGUAUUGCAAAAAUGUAUCAUCUCACUACACAAAAGGCUUCUCAGCUGAAAACUGUAAACUGCAAAUUGUUUCUUCUUCUCUCUCCCCCAUCACUGUGGGGGGGGGGGGUCGUGUUAGGGGGCGAGAAUAGUCUGUACAAUGCUUGCUUCACGAUAAGGCUGACUCCUGUGGGAACACAGAUUAGUUACUGCCUGCUUUGCGCACAAACUUUGCAGAAAACUGUAGCAAAUGACAGAUUGCCGCAAUGGAAUCUUGUUCAGGAGAGGUAUAAAAAUGUAUCGUCGGGCAUGGCUAGGGGUGAACAUGGCUUUGAGCUCCGUUGUCGAUCUGUUUGCAAACAAACAUACUUGAAAUGGAUCCAGCCUAAGUGUGUAUAACUCUCUCUUGAGGUAUAUGGAAAAAGCCUCCAGAAACACGAAUCUAGCUGGUUGUGCAACAGAGGCACAACAGGGAAGCACCCCCCUCCCCCUGUCAGCCUAACCACCCUCUCGUCCGUCCAAGGCCCCUGCCUUGUAGUGCCUCUUGGGCCUGUGUGGUGUUGCUGGUCGUUGUGUUUUUUGGGGGGGGGUGUGAGGGGUGUGCAGCCAAGGUGAUGGCUCCUGUGGAGAAGGGGAGGAGAAGCAGAAGUAGUUACGAAGAGCCUGGGUGCUGGGCUGAUGUCGUGGGAGAAAACUCCCUGGUGUUCGUUGUCUAGCAGGCUUAGAGACCAGACAAACACGGGUGAAGGGGUAACUGCAGUUUAUUUACUCGAGUAAAGAGCAUAAAACAGCAAAGAGGUAAAAUGGCCUUGACUUAAGGGUGAGGCUGUCUUGUAUACAUUUUCUAAGAAAGAAACUACAAGGUUAUUGAAUAUGCAAUACUUAUGGUAAUCAUCUCCUUACAUGGUGCAUUACAAAUCUCAAUACUUUUCCAGAGGAAAAAAGUUAGUGUUACCUUACACAUUCCAAUCUGUUUUCCUGUGCUGUGCUGUACCAUCUUCUUCCUUGUGGCCCCCCCCCCCUUAUCUUAUCUCACUCCUAGCUGCAGCUGGUACCCAGUACACAGACUUAAUUUCUGCUUUUUUCUAACAAAAUGGUUAAGGCACUUGAUAUAAGAAAAUGGUUGGCUUAGAGAUCAUUCUGUCUUGUGGUCAGCAAGAUUGCUAGGCCACAGGUCAUACCUAGUGUUUAGCUACAAAGCUAAUAAUAUUUAAUAAUCUAAAUUAUUGUUAAUAGUAUACUACAGAAAACUAUUUUAUUUCAGUGUAAAGACAAACUUGCCCAUCACACUGAGUGUGAGGUGGAAGAGGUGCCAGGAGGAUGUGUGGGGUGUGGCUUGUGCCCUGGUGUGUGCUUGGUGGGGUGAGAGGGGUGCGAAGCUGCCUGGGUGUGGUGGGAUCUUGCUCUGAUCCCUUGCUUGUUUGCUUUGUUUGGUGAUGUUUGUGUGUGUCCUUGUGGUGUUUGUGUUCUGCCUGUUUGUUGUGAGGCUGGCAAUGUUUUCUUCCUGGUGGUUUGUUUUGUACAUGGCUGUUUGCUCACCUCCUGUCUGCUGAGCUUUUUGUAUUUAACAUGUAGAGGAACUUGUGGGCCAACCAGGAAAAAUAAAAUAAAGGAGAAAUGGUUUUGGCA